rnacentral:rRNA from 1 species
GACGAACGCUGGCGGCGUGCUUAACACAUGCCAGUCGAACGGAAAGGCCCCUUUGGGGGUACUCGAGUGGCGAACGGGUGAGUAACACGUGAGUAACCUGCCCUUGACUUCGGGAUAACUUCAGGAAACUGGGGCUAAUACCGGAUAGGAAUCCUUGCUGCAUGGUGGGGGUUGGAAAGCUUCGGCGGUUUUGGAUGGACUCGCGGCUUAUCAGCUUGUUGGUGGGGUAGUGGCUUACCAAGGCUUUGACGGGUAGCCGGCCUGAGAGGGCGACCGGCCACAUUGGGACUGAGAUACGGCCCAGACUCCUACGGGAGGCAGCAGUGGGGAAUAUUGCACAAUGGGCGGAAGCCUGAUGCAGCAACGCCGCGUGCGGGAUGACAGCCUUCGGGUUGUAAACCGCUUUCAGCAGGGGCGAAGCUUGUGGUGACGGUACCUGCAGAAGAAGCACCGGCUAACUACGUG